rnacentral:rRNA from 1 species
AUUAAUAAUUAAUAUAUUUAAUAAAAAUAAUUUUAAUUUAAUAAAUAUUUUAAUGGGGGUUAAAGUAUUUUUUAAAGAAAAAAUUUUUAAAUUUAUAGUUAAUUAGUAUUGUGAAAGAAUUUUGAAAUAUUAUGAAAAAUAAAAUUUUUAGAAAGUAAUUUUUAUUUAUUGUAUCUUGUGUAUCAGAGUUUAUUAAAAAUUUUUAAUUUAUAAAUUAAUUUCUCGAAUUUAAAAGAGUUAAAUAAUUAUUAAAGUUAUUGUAGCAAAAUUAUUUUAAAUAAUUAUUUAGAAAUGAAAUGUUAAUCGUUUUUAAAUAUAUCUAGUUUUUAUAGAAAAAAAUUUAAUUUUAAAUUUAAAAAUUAUUUAAUUAAUUUAUUAAUUAAAUAAUUAUUUAAAUUUUAUAAUUUAAGGGAUAAGCUUUAAAUUAAAUUUUUAUAAUAUUAAAUUUUUAUUUUGAAAAUUUUAUAAUUUAUAUUGUUAAUAAAUUUUAUUUUGUUAUAAAUAAUUUCAUUUUUUUUAAAAUUUAAAUUUUAUUUAAUUUUUUAUAUAAAAUUUAUUUAUAAUUAUAUAAAGUUAAUUAUAAUGAUAAAAUUAGUAUAUUAUUUAAUAUUAAAUUAAAAUUAAUUUUUGAUUAAUAAUUAAAUUAAUUAAAAGGAAUUCGGCAAAUAUUUAUUUUCACUUGUUUAUCAAAAACAUGUCUUUUUGUUACUUAAUUUAAAGUCUAAUCUGCCCACUGAUUUAUAAAAAUUGAAGGGCUGCAGUAUAUUGACUGUACAAAGGUAGCAUAAUCAUUAGUCUCUUAAUUGGUGACUUGUAUGAAAGAUUGGAUGAAAAAUAUACUGUCUCUUAAUUAAUAUAUAGAAUUUAAUUUUUUAUUUAAAAAGUUAAAAUAAUUUAAAAAGACGAGAAGACCCUAUAGAGUUUAAUAAAUUAUUUUAUGAAAGUUUUAUUUAUAUUUACUAAUAAUUUUAUAAAUUUAUUUAUUUUGUUGGGGUGAUAAAAAAAUAAAUUUAACUUUUUUUAAGUAAUUUACAUGAAUAAGUGAUUAAU